GAUUGUUUAGAAAGAAUUUUUGUGCAUUUAAUUAUAUAAUUUAUUUAUAUUUGACAUAGUUAUUUUAUUGUACAAUAAAUUGUAAGAAACUUUGUUAUAAACAUUUAUUAUAAUGGAUAAUUUAAGUUUGAUUGUAGAAUAAGUGGCUUACAAUUACAAUCUACGAAUUUAUAAGAAUAUGUACAAUAAUAUAUAAAACUAUAAUUAUAAAAAGAAAGAAGAAAGGAUAUGUUUUGUGAAAAGAAAAUGACAAUGACAUAUGCAAAUAUUAAAAUAUAAAUCGUAUUUUUAUUGAUGUCAUAAAUAUUUAUAUAAAAAGCACAGUCCAAAAUAAUAUAAACAGUCCAAAAAUAUUGCAUAUACUGCUUUUAAACUUUACGUUUUAUAGUCACGAAAGAUUAAAUUAUCAUCAAUCGACUCGUUAUUUGUUACAGAUUAUAAAAAAUUAUUCUACAAGGAGAUCAUAUUUCGUAUCCAUUCCAAAUGUUGUGCAACGUCCACGUAAACUAUAUACUGGUUUAAAUCACAAGACAUAGUGGUUCUAUUCAGCAAGGAUCUCGAAACGAUUCC